rnacentral:rRNA from 1 species
AGAGUUUGAUCCUGGCUCAGAAUCAACGCUGGCGGCGUGCCUCAGACAUGCAAGUCGAACGAUUAAAGCUCCCUUCGGGGAGUGCAUAAAGUGGCGCACGGGUGAGUAACACGUAAGUAAUCUACCUUCGAGUGGGGAAUAACCCGGGGAAACCCGAGCUAAUACCGCAUAACGCAGCGGCAUCGCAAGAUGACAGUUGUUAAAGGAGCAAUCCGCUUGAAGAGGAGCUUGCGGCAGAUUAGCUAGUUGGUAAGGUAACGGCUUACCAAGGCUACGAUCUGUAUCCGGUCUAAGAGGACGGUCGGACACACUGACACUGAAUAACGGGUCAGACUCCUACGGGAGGCAGCAGUCGGGAAUUUUGGGCAAUGGGGGAAACCCUGACCCAGCAACGCCGCGUGAAGGAUGAAGUAUUUCGGUAUGUAAACUUCGAAAGAAUGGGAAGAAUAAAUGACGGUACCAUUUAUAAGCUCCGGCUAACUACGUGCCAGCAGCCGCGGUAAUACGUAGGGAGCAAGCGUUGUUCGGAUUUACUGGGCGUAAAGGGCGCGUAGGCGGCGCGGUAAGUCACUUGUGAAAUCUCUGAGCUUAACUCAGAACGGCCAAGUGAUACUGCAGUGCUAGAGUGCAGAAAGGGCAAUCGGAAUUCUUGGUGUAGCGGUGAAAUGCGUAGAUAUCAAGAGGAACACCUGAGGCGAAGGCGGGUUGCUAGGCUGACACUGACGCUGAGGCGCG